GUACUAAGGUAGCAUAAUCAUUAGUCUCUUAAUUAGGGAAUAGAAUGAAAGGAUCAACUAAUCAUUACAUUAUAAUAAACCUUUAUAAUUAAACUAGCAUUAUAGUAAAAAGACUAUAAUAUAUCAGAAAGACAACAAGACCCUAUUGAACUUUACACCCAAUGUUUUACUGGGGAAGUAAAUCAACAAAAUUUUAAUUAAUAAUAAUUUACUAAAUCGGAUCAAUUCAAUUACAGAAACAAGUUACCAUAGGGAUAACAGCACAAUAAUACUUUAGAGUACAUAUCAAAAGUAGUGAUUAUGACCUCGAUGUUGAAUUAGAAAACUUAAUUAAGUAAAAUUAUUUAAAGUGGGUCUGUUCGACCCUUAAUUACCUACGUGAU
rnacentral:rRNA from 1 species